rnacentral:rRNA from 1 species
GAUGAACGCUGGCGGCGUGCCUAAUACAUGCAAGUCGAGCGAACAGACGAGGAGCUUGCUCCUCUGACGUUAGCGGCGGACGGGUGAGUAACACGUGGAUAACCUACCUAUAAGACUGGGAUAACUUCGGGAAACCGGCGCUAAUACCGGAUAAUAUAUUGAACCGCAUGGUUCAAUAGUGAAAGACGGUUUUGCUGUCACUUAUAGAUGGAUCCGCGCCGCAUUAGCUAGUUGGUAAGGUAACGGCUUACCAAGGCGACGAUGCGUAGCCGAACUGAGAGGGUGAUCGGCCACACUGGAACGGAGACACGGUCCAGACUACUACGGGAGGCAGCAGUAGGGAAUGUUCCGCAAUGGGCGAAAGCAUGACGGAGCAACGCCGCGUGAGUGAUGAAGGUCUUCGGAUCGUAAAAAUCUGUUAUGAGGGAAGAACAAAUGUGUAAGUAACUAUGCACGUCUUGACGGUACCUAAUCAGAAAGCCACGGCUAACUACGUG